rnacentral:rRNA from 1 species
UAUUGCACAAUGGGGGAAACCCUGAUGCAGCGACGCCGCGUGAGUGAAGAAGUAUUUCGGUAUGUAAAGCUCUAUCAGCAGGGACGAAAAUGACGGUACCUGAGUAAGAAGCCCCGGCUAACUACGUGCCAGCAGCCGCGGUAAUACGUAGGGGGCAAGCGUUAUCCGGAUUUACUGGGUGUAAAGGGAGCGUAGACGGUUAUGCAAGUCUGGAGUGAAAGGCGGGGGCUCAACCCCCGGACUGCUCUGGAAACUGUAGAACUAGAGUGCAGGAGGGGUAAGUGGAAUUCCUAGUGUAGCGGUGAAAUGCGUAGAUAUUAGGAGGAACACCAGUGGCGAAGGCGGUUUACUGGACCACAACUAACGCUGAGACACGAAAGCGUGGGGAGCAAACAGG